rnacentral:rRNA from 1 species
CACGUAGGGUGCGAGCGUUGUCCGGAAUUAUUGGGCGUAAAGAGCUCGUAGGCGGUGUGUCGCGUCGGCCGUGAAAACCUGCAGCUUAACUGUGGGCUUGCGGUCGAUACGGGCAUCACUGGAGUUCGGCAGGGGAGACUGGAAUUCCUGGUGUAGCGGUGAAAUGCGCAGAUAUCAGGAGGAACACCGGUGGCGAAGGCGGGUAGCUGGGCCGACACUGACGCUGAUGCGCGAAAGCCAGGGGAGCGAACGGG